UCGAGAAUCUUCGGCAAUGGGCGCAAGCCUGACCGAGCGACGCUACGUGCGGGAUGAAGGCCCUUGGGUUGUAAACCGCUGUCAGAGGGGAUGAAAGCGCAAGCUUGACAGAGCCUCAGAGGAAGCGCGGGCUAAGUUCGUGCCAGCAGCCGCGGUAAUACGAACUGCGCAAACGUUAUUCGGAAUCACUGGGCUUACAGGGUGCGUAGGCGGCCGAUCAGGUCCGGUGUGAAAUCCCACAGCUCAACUGUGGAAUGGCAUUGGAAACCGAUCGGCUUGAGUGGGCUAGAGGUGCACGGAACUUCCGGUGGAGCGGUGAAAUGUGUUGAGAUCGGAAGGAACACCAGAGGCGAAAGCGGUGCACUGGAGCUUGUCUGACGCUGAGGCACGAAAGCCAGGGGAGCAAACGG
rnacentral:rRNA from 1 species